UGCUUAUUCAAUAAUGAAAAAAUAUUAGUUUAUCAUGGUUUUUCCAUAUCUUCCCGUUCCUAAUUUUCUUCUUUCAGUUUACUAGUUUAUUUCGUCCGGACUUAAUCCUUUUCACUAAAUAGUGAACUCUUUAUGUACUUGAUCAUAUUCUUCCAUACCUUUACGAACAUGAGUUCAUUUUUGCCUGCACAAUUUGAUUAGUUUUAAAUACGCCCAACUUCAGUGUCCUGUGUAAAUAAGUUGACCGGUAAAGAAUAACGUAGAGAAAAAGCUUGACUAUAUUGAUCUGUGUAAGUUCUUAUGUGUCACAGCUCUGAAGUGAAACAUCUGAAUUCGAGGUUAUAGAUGGAGUUUCAGGUCUAGGUUGGAGCUAAGUAGAGUGGAAAUAACUGCCAAAAAUAAUUUGUUGUGUUUUAACUUUAGCCAUGUUAAGUGGUGGUACAAACUGCAAGUUAUUGAGUAUUUUCAAACUAUUUUUCAAGUGGAGAAGGGAAAGAGAAUGAAACAAAAGAUAAAAAGUCUAAUAUAUUUUUAGCCGUCUUUGAGUUUUUAGGAGGAAAAGAGAAAGACAAAUGAAUGAUAUAAAGAUUAAUAUUAAAAUGGAGUUGGAGCAUAUUAGAGAUUCAAUUUGUUGUCAAGCCUUGAAAUUGAUUUCUUCUGUAUAACUUGCAUUUUAAAAGGUAUAGUAUAUAUUCUCAUAUCCCUAGCAGAAAAUAUUCUAGUUAUCCUCAUGAAUAUUCUAUCAGGUACAACUAAUAUGAGAUCCCAUGCAACAAGUUGAGAUGGUUGGUGUCCCAGAAGAAUACUUGUUAGGCCAUGCUUUCCAUAUGUAUCACUUGACCUCACCAGAUGGAACUUAAACUACUGGACUGGGGGAAGAGGGCCACCGAAUGGAAGCUGAAAUAGUAUCACUACGGGCAGCGUUUACUCAAAGAGUUCAGCGUGUCAUAAACUUGACCAUCCUAAUGUAACCAAGGUGACGUUAAAACUCUUCAACUUAUAGUAUGUAGAACGUGUUUAGAGCUUGUUGAAUAUUAUUGCUUGUUCUUUAAAAUUCGUAGUUUUUAGAGUACAAUCUCAUCUACACAAUAGGCAUUGCGAUUGGAAGCACUUUACUUGGAGAAAUAGAAAGAACAUGUAUUGCACGUGUAAACUCUGAGAAAGUCCCACAUGAAUAUUCUACCAUAACGGGCAUUCAAGAAUCGGUACAUUAAGUGAUUCUUAUACUAAUCAUCCUUGUUUACCUGAGAUAAUUAUUCACCAAUAUAGCAGAAACCUGUGGUUGGCAUUGACUUGGUGAUGUCAAUCUAGAUGAAGAACUUAGUGAUAGAAGUUGAAAUAGCACUGAUUGUAUAUGUGAAAAUAACAACUGCAGUAGGGCCUUCCAUAGUGUUUGCCUGAAAAACAAUACGAGGCAUACAAAUAGCCAUUAUUGUUGGAACUGUUGCAUCAUUUCUUGCCUGGCCGACUAAACUCAUAAAAUGCAGAUUGCGCCGCACGAGAAGUUCUAGAAAAUUCUGUUAUGUUUGGAGUAUACGAAGCAUUAAAGCAGUAUUUUGCAGGAGGCAUGGAUACUUCUAGUGUUGUUGUUCAGUGAAGAAGGUUACGAGAAGGUCCAAGACUUGCUGCUUUUGGAUUUACAUUACUAGCUUGUUGUAAAGAUUUUUUUUGUGAUGUGUAUAUCAUUGUGUAUUAUAAUUUAUUAUAUAUGUAAUACUAAUUUAUAUAGUUGCAUAAAAUUUUAA